rfam:Dipodomys ordii contig_61066, whole genome shotgun sequence.
GGUGGCUUAGUGGUAGAGUGCUUGCCUUGCAUGCAUGAGACCCUGGGUUCGAUUCCUCAGCACCA